AACCCCGUUGUGUAACGGUAGCACAAGUGGUUUUGGUCCACUCAGUUCUGGUUCGAAUCCAGACGGGGUUGCCA
rnacentral:tRNA from 1 species